GACGGAGGAUGCAAGUGUUAUCCGGAAUCACUGGGCGUAAAGCGUCUGUAGGUGGUUUAAUAAGUCAACUGUUAAAUCUUGAGGCUCAACCUCAAAAUCGCAGUCGAAACUAUUAGGCUAGAGUAUAGUAGGGGUAAAGGGAAUUUCCAGUGGAGCGGUGAAAUGCGUAGAGAUUGGAAAAAACACCGAUGGCGAAGGCACUUUACUGGGCUAUUACUAACACUCAGAGACGAAAGCUAGGGUAGCAAAUGGG
rnacentral:rRNA from 1 species